UGAGGAAUAUUGGUCAAUGGGCGGGAGCCUGAACCAGCCAAGCCGCGUGAGGGAGGAAGGCCCUAUGGGUCGUAAACCUCUUUUGUCAGGGAACAAAAGCGAGUAUGUAUACUAGUCUGAGUGUACCUGAAGAAAAAGCAUCGGCUAACUCCGUGCCAGCAGCCGCGGUAAUACGGAGGAUGCGAGCGUUAUCCGGAUUUAUUGGGUUUAAAGGGUGCGUAGGCGGCGGUGCAAGUCAGCGGUAAAAGCCCGGGGCUCAACCCCGGCGAGCCGUUGAAACUGGAUUUCUUGAGUGGGCGAGAAGUGUGCGGAAUGUGUGGUGUAGCGGUGAAAUGCAUAGAUAUCACACAGAACUCCGAUUGCGAAGGCAGCACACCGGCGCCCGACUGACGCUGAGGCACGGAAGCGUGGGGAUCAAACAGGAUUAGAUACC
rnacentral:rRNA from 1 species